UAAUACGAAGCAAAGACGCAAAAUUUGGAUUUAGUUUCAAUACAAAUUCUGUGAAAAUGAUGGUGAAAUUUGCAAUCCUUGUGUUCGCUGUUUUGCAAUGUGCAGUUUUGGCGAUGGGUGCAGUUGCCCAAUACCCAGUGUCAACUCAUCCAGAUUAUCCGGAAAAAUGUUGGUUUGAGGAUGAUAAGAAGGCGUAUGGUGUUGGUGAAAAGUGGUUCAAACCAGAUUCAUGUGGCAGAUUUAGUUGCAAUGCCGACUACAGUGUAACUUAUGUUACUUGUGGCGUUAUCGCUGUUGACUCAGAUUCAGGUUUCACUAUCAGUGAAAUAGAUGUGUCGAAACCGUACCCUGAAUGUUGUCCGCAAAUAAUUAAACAAUAAUUUACAAUUUAUACAACAAUUAAAAGAGUAAAAUAACUGAGA